rnacentral:rRNA from 1 species
GACGAACGCUGGCGGCGUGCUUAACACAUGCAAGUCGAACGGAAAGGCCCUGCUUUUGUGGGGUGCUCGAGUGGCGAACGGGUGAGUAACACGUGAGUAACCUGCCCUUGACUUUGGGAUAACUUCAGGAAACUGGGGCUAAUACCGGAUAGGAGCUCCUGCUGCAUGGUGGGGGUUGGAAAGUUUCGGCGGUUGGGGAUUGACUCGCGGCUUAUCAGCUUGUUGGUGGGGUAGUGGCUUACCAAGGCUUUGACGGGUAGCCGGCCUGAGAGGGUGACCGGCCACAUUGGGACUGAGAUACGGCCCAGACUCCUACGGGAGGCAGCAGUGGGGAAUAUUGCACAAUGGGCGGAAGCCUGAUGCAGCAACGCCGCGUGCGGGAUGACGGCCUUCGGGUUGUAAACCGCUUUCGCCUGUGACGAAGCGUGAGUGACGGUAAUGGGUAAAGAAGCACCGGCUAACUACGUG